rnacentral:rRNA from 1 species
AUGACAGUCCUGGCCUUUGGCGCCGCCGCUACCUGGCCGGAGGCCGUCGUCCAGUGCCUCCUCUUCGUCCUCGCCGCGGGUAUGCUCGUGGCCCUCCACUCCCUCCCCCGCCGAGUUGCCCAUCGUCUCCGCCGCGGCGCCGGCGGCUCCUCGGCCGCUCAAUCGCGCCGGCACUUCGCGCUGGGUGCCCAGCUCCUCGCCCGCGCGCGAGCCGCUGCUCCGAAGCCCCCGGGCCCGCUCGCCCGCGCGGCCCUCGCCGAGGCCGACCGCGCCAUCGCGCUCGACCCCCGCGACGCAGCGCCGCUGAUCCUCAAGGCCCUCGCCCUCGACCUCCAGGGUCACCGCCUCCCGGCGCUGCGCACCCUCGACGUCGCCCUGGCGCCGCCGCUCGCGCGAUCCCUGGAACCGCGGGAGCGCGGGGACGCGCUCGCCAAGCGCGCCGAGAUCACGCUAGCGCUUAACCGCCGCCGCCGCCUCGACCAGGCCGCCGCGGAUCUCACCGAGGCCGUCCGCCUUAGCCCCGAGAACCCCCGCGCUCAUGCCCUGCUUGGCGAGUGCUACGAGAGGAGGGGCCUCGCUGCCGAAGCCAGGAACUCCUUCAAGACCGCCGCGUCAAUCGACCCAUCUCUUGCUACCGCGCACGACGGCCUCCGUCGGACAGGCGCAGGCAGCGAAGUCAACGAGAGUGACUGA